AUGAGUCCUACUGCAGGAAAUUAUGCCUGUCAGAGGAUGGAAGGCCAGUAUCCUCCUGACGGCUGGUACUGGAGCCUGGGGUACUGCGCAUCGGCUCAUUGCCUUGCAGCUUUGAUCUUGUCCCAGCUGGCAUCUUGAUCAUCCCCAUUCCACAGAUGGAGAAGGAGGCUCGGAGGGUUUGUCCACUUGCUCAGACUCACACAGCCAGACAGGUGGCGGCCGACACGGUAAAAUGCCAGAUCAGUCCCAGCAAGAGACAGGCAGGGAGGGUACACAGAGGAGGUGGCCUUGACCUAGGCUCCGGGGAUGGGCUUGCGGACGGAGAACAGAGAGGAAGGGCAGAGAACAAAGGGCAUAGACGGAUCAGGGUGCUGGCCAUCCACUGAGCCUGGCCCUGGGGUAUGUGGCAGGGGCAGGACGGGCUCAGGUCUGGGUACCCCGCCCCCCCCACAACCCCAGGUCGCAGGGGUGUGGAAGGUAUUCUGCUAGGUAGUGACUCCCUUCAUAGGGCUAGACCUGCUGGGGCCUGAAGCUGGUUAUGAAGAGAAACCUAAAACAGGUUUGUGGGUGAGUCAGUAGCUGGGAGCGCACAAAGAAACAGGCCUCUUGGAGGUCUUCCCUCAGCAUCUGCGGACCGGGUGGCCGCCCACGCCUGCUUGCUGGAUGGCCAGGACCACAGUGACCCAAGGACCAGCGGGAGCAGUUGCACGCGAGAGGGGUGGGGUUCGUCCUAAGAAGCCUUUGUCACUGAAGCGGAUGUCGGAGAUGACUUGGGUUUUCUCUGCAAGUGAAAAACCUCUGCUUGUGAGAAUGAACAGGAAGGAGGGUCUCCUUAGGGCCACAGAUUGCUUUCCACGUCCUUCUAUCAUGCAUGUGUAAAGUCUAUUCACAACUUUAUCAAAACAUCUCUUUUGGGAAAAGUGAGCUUGGGAAGAAAGUGUGAACAUUGAGUCCUGUUUUUCCAAAAGACUCUCCAUCUGCACCCCCACUGGACGCAGAGUCAUUUUCACGAGCUGCUUGGGAAUUUCCUGUUUAUUUACCCGGACUUCCAGACAAACCGGGACUCCAGCCCCGCCUCCCCCCACUGCAGUCAACUUGGCGCAAGGAGAUGUCUGGGCCGGGGAGCUAAGAGUGACUCACCUCAAACCUUCCCACCCCAGCGGCCCCUGCCCACCGUGGACUGCAGCAGAUGGAGGCUCCGGGCACCUGGAAUCAGAGGGAAACCCCCACAGGACACCUUCCAGCAAGAAAGAGGAGACAACUAGAUCUCAGCCUGGAACAGAGCAGGCCUGUCGCCCCUCUUUCCUCCCUGCCGCAGAAUUAGGGGGUGGCUGUGGAGGAAGAACUGUACCCCCCUUUCAAUGGCUAAGUCAGAGGUCUCUCUUGGUAACAGUCACAUCGCACUUGAAAACAUGUGGGUUAUUUUCAAAUAUCUUUUGAUAUUAAUUUCUAAUAUAAUUUCACCGUGAUAAGAGAACAGACUGUAUGAUUUCAUCACCUUUAGACCAGGAAAUUUUUGCACCUUGUUUUACGCCCCUGGAUAUGUUCUAGUGUCUCCUGAUUUAUAGUCUAUGGGAACUUGAAUAGAAUUUGUAUCCUGCUGUUGUGUGAAAAUUGUAUAGAUCUUUACUAUAUUGAAUUGGUUCAUGGUGCUUUUCAGAUCUAACUAUAUACUUCUACUUCUCUGUCUUUUCUUUCUAUUAAUUUUUUGUGAGUCUGAUAUUGAAACUCCAGUUAAAAAU